rnacentral:rRNA from 1 species
GGACCAAGGAGUCUAGCAUGUGCGCGAGUCAUUGGGACUCUGUUAAAACCUAAAGGCGUAAUGAAAGUAAAUAUUCAUUUGUGUUCUAUAACCGGAUCACAUUGAAUUCAGGGAAGAUGGGUAACGAAAUUUAUGUUACCCCGCAUUCCCGGGGCGUCGCGUACUUAUUGCAAGUUGCGGCGCACCAAGAGCGUACACGCUGGGACCC